UACGUAGGGACCAAGCGUUGUCCGGAAUCAUUGGGCGUAAAGAGCGUGUAGGCGGCUUGUUAAGUCUUGCGUGAAAUCCCAGAGCUCAACUCUGGAACUGCCUUUGAUACUGGGUGUCUUGAGUAUGGAAGAGGUGAGUGGAAUUCCGAGUGUAGAGGUGAAAUUCGUAGAUAUUCGGAGGAACACCAGUGGCGAAGGCGGCUCACUGGUCCAUUACUGACGCUGAGGUGCGAAAGCGUGGGGAGCAAACAGG
rnacentral:rRNA from 1 species